GUGCUGAAUUUGUGUAGUAGUGAUGUCCCCUACGCUCCCAAUUAAUCCUUUACUGCAUUGCUGAAUGUGCAGGUUUUUAUUCAGUUCUGUCUAUCAGGUGGGAGCGCAGGCGAAUCUGAUCCGGACACUGCAAGUCAAGCUGCAGAUGCUGAAUCUGAUGAAGACCAAGUGGCAUACUUUGAUACAAGAGAUUUUUUUUGUCUGCACAAUCUCUACAAAGUGCUUCUCCAAGGAGGGAACUUGUGACAAAUGGCUGCGAUGCAUUAGAAUCUAUUGGAGACUCCAGAUGGUAUACUGCCAAACCUACCAAGUAUCCCAUUGUUAAACGUCGAGAUAAGUUACCUGAGCCAAAGGAGAAAUAGAAGCCAAUAGGAUUAUGGUCAAUAAUUAAAGAAAAUUUAGGGAAAGGAAGAUCUCUCCAGUAUUUGUCUCCCUGUCUAUAUCAAUGAGCCUUUGUCUUCUCUGCAAAAAUGUUUGGAGGAUCUGGAGUACUCUUACUUGGUUGACAAUGCACUACAGUGGGGAAAACAGGCAUAGUUGAUAAUCCACUUCAACUCUCUUUAUAGCUCAUUGAUGCAAAGCAGUUCUGGUUUCAUCUCAGUAUAAGAUAUUUCCAUAUAUGCUCAUUAAGUAUUUCACCAUACAUUCUAUUUUUCAAAGCUUUUUAGUUUAGAUUCCUUUGUUAAAUAUAUUGAUAGAUAAGUUGACUGUAAUUUUAUGGUUAACUUCCGGGCAUCAUUUCAAAUGCUAAUGCAAGACAGUUGGGGAACUGUACAUAAUACUUUCUUUGGGACUUGAAUGCUUGAUUGAUCCCGCAAGCUAUGUAAUUUAUCGGUAUGUUAUCCAAUAUUCUUGUCAUACUUUCUAUGGUCGCAUGUGCUUGAUUUGAGAGUAUGAGUGUUAAGGAUUACUGAAUUUAGGAACGCCUUUGUGUAUCCCUGUCUUUGAUAUCUUAAGACCUGAUAUGUUUCAGUAAUUAAAUGGUGUCCUGUAUUUUUGGUUUAAGACAGACACUGAUAAUAAUUUGAGCCUUAGUUGUGUUUCUAUUAACUAGCAUAAGAUUACUUGAGGUAUUUAUCGCUACAUUUUCUUUUGGUGACAUGAACUGAAAAAAUUCUAUGAAAUAUACUUGUCUUAGGACUAAAACUAGAUGCAUUGUAUAACCCCUUUUCCUUUGUGCUCAAGGACGUGGUCCCCAGCUUGAGCGACUGCUUUAUCUACGAACAUUUGCGUGUUAGUUCUGAAUCAUCUAUUUGACAUUCAGAUUGAUAAGUGUUUUCUCAUGGACAAUUCACAAUUGUAUGUGGCUGUCUCACGAGUGGCAUCAUGGCAAGGGUUAAAGAUCUUAAUUGAAGAUGCCAAGGGUUAGUAGUAUGGGAGUUCCUGCCAAGACAGGCUUUUGAAAGUUAUGCUUGCUUCACCAGUUGGGCUUAACAAGGAAGUAAUUAAUUCUCUGUAGUAAAGAAGGGAGAGGUACCAGGUGUUGUGUUGGUGAUACAGCUCGCCCUGUGUAUGAUGUUUCAUCUCAAAAUCAAGAUGUUUCGAUCCCAGAAGAGAAGGCAAGGACAUGGCGGCGAUGGCGUGAUUUGGAGUAUAUGCUGCCUUUCUAUGCUCUCCAAAUGGGUGCGAAAAGAAUCAGCUUCACGGUAGCAGUUGACUUGGACUUUCAGUUAGCUGUGAACAUCAAUUUGAAUGAAGUUUAAAUGAAGCUGCAGUGGCAACGAAUUCAGACAUGUGCUGUAGUUUAAAUUUGACAGGAAUGCUGUCAAACUAAGUUUACAAGGACAUCGAUUUCUGUCAAACUAAGUUUACAGUGUCAACUGUUGUAGUUUAAAUGAAGCUGCAGUUUAAAGUGGAGCUACAGUGUCGACUGCUGUAGUUUAAAUUCAGCUGUAGUCAAUUUGCCCGUACAAAUUCUUGGUUGCUUCUCUGCUCCUCCAUCAGCAGAAAGUAAACUGAAUUUAUUUUUAAAUCCAUAUGC